rnacentral:rRNA from 1 species
AAUCCGGUUGAUCCUGCCGGACCUGACUGCUAUCGGAUUAAUACUAAGCCAUGCGAGUUUUUGUAGUAAUACAAGGCAUACGGCUCAGUAACACGUAGUCAACCUACCCUAUGGACGAGGAUAAUCUCGGGAAACUGAGCAUAAUACUCGAUAGAUCAUAAUGCCUGGAAUGGUUUAUGGUUGAAAUGAUUCGUUCGCCAUAGGAUGGGACUGCGGCCUAUCAGCUUGUUGGUGGGGUAAUGGCCCACCAAGGCGAUUACAGGUACGGGCUCUGAGAGGAGAAGCCCGGAGAUGGGUACUGAGACACGGACCCAGGCCCUAUGGGGCGCAGCAGGCGAGAAAACUUUGCAAUGUGCGAAAGCACGACAAGGUUAGUCCGAGUGAUUUCUGCUAAAGAAAUCUUUUGCAAGUUCUAAAACCAC